GGGGACGUAGCUCAAACGGAUAGAGCAUCGGAUUUCUAAUCCGAGGGUUGCAGGUUCAAGUCCUGCCGUCCCUACCA
rnacentral:tRNA from 1 species